UUCUCAACAUAAAAUCAAACAAUAAAAAUUCUAAAUCUUGAAAUUUUAUUUAAAAUAUAUAAAGAAAAAAUUAGGUGCUUUAAUUUUUUUAUUUAUGUAAGUAUUUUUUUUCUCUAACCAUUUUAUUUAAUAAUGAGUGUUUUUUUAGUUGGGGCUAGUGCAGAGAUGACAGAGAAAAUGUUUGAGUGAGAGAGAUGAAGGAGAAAGGAUUGAGAGGAAUGAAGGAGGUGAGUAAGGGUUUGGGGUUUCUUUUUUUUAGUUUUGAGAAUGAAAAUUAUUAAAAUAAGACAAGUGUUUCUGAUUUUUUUUCAAUUGGGGCUAGAGU
rnacentral:lncRNA from 1 species